rnacentral:rRNA from 1 species
AGUCGAACGCACGCGCUUCGGCGCGUGAGUGGCGCACGGCUGAGUAACACGUGGGAACCCGCCCUCCGGUGGGGGAUAACGAGGCGAAAGUCUCGCUAAUCCCGCAUACGUCCGCACGGGGAAAGCGCAAUCGCGCGCCGGAGGAGGGGCCUGCGGCCCAUCAGGUCGUUGGCAGGGUAAUGGCCUACCAAGCCGGUGACGGGUAGCUGGUCUGGGAGGAUGACCAGCCAGACUGGGACUGAGACACGGCCCAGACUCCUACGGGAGGCAGCAGCAAGGAAUUUUCGGCAAUGGGCGCAAGCCUGACCGAGCAACGCCGCGUGCGGGAUGACGGCCUUCGGGUUGUAAACCGCUUUUCGGGGGGACGAUGAUGACGGUACCCCCGGAAGAAGCCCCGGCUAACUCUGUGCCAGCAGCCGCGGUAAGACAGAGGGGGCGAGCGUUGUCCGGAGUCACUGGGCGUAAAGCGCGCGCAGGCGGUCGCCUAAGUGUCGUGUGAAAGCCCCCGGCUCAACCGGGGGAGGCCAUGGCAGACUGGGCGACUGGAGCCGCAGAGAGGCCCCUCGAAUUGCCGGUGUAGCGGUGAAAUGCGUAGAGAUCGGCAGGAAGACCAAGGGGGAAGCCAGGGGGCUGGCUGCGAGCUGACGCUGAGGCGCGACAGCGUGGGGAGCCAAC